GCUCCGAUAGCUCAGUGGUAGAGCAACAGAUUGCAGCUAGGAACUAUCUAUCUAUAUAUAGAUAAUUCUUCAUUUUCAGCUAUCUGAAGGUCGAUCGUUCGAUCCGGUCUCGGAGCU